CGGGACGCUGGAGGUCCGGAGAGCCGCCUGCCGAGCCCUGCGAGCGGCCCUGCAGCACCGAGCAGGUGGUGAGGAGAGAGAGAAGCGGAGAUUCCCCUCCCUUCUGCGGUGUGUCCCCUGGGGCAGGAGGAGCUGGAGAAGAGGCCGAUCGGCUAAUGCUGCCAACAACCUUCAUGAAGGUGGCCUGCAAGACCCCAAGGAGGGAGUGGCUCUGACCGGCAUGUCGCUAAACGGAAACUGUGAAGAAGCAAGCAGAGGCACAGGCGCUUAAAGCUCCUGGAUGGCGUCAAGGCAACACCCUUGCUGAUUUGCUCUUAUAGCAUGAGGAUGACGGGCUGAAUUCACCCUGGUGAUCUUCUGGAAAGGGGACAUGGAAGCCAUCUCCCAGCUCUUGGGAAAAGCUGCUACCUUCUGUAGCAACAGUGUCUGAGCCAGAUAACCGUCCUGCUCCCACCUCACCAUUGCUGCAGCAAAACCCAGAGGAGGAUCAUGUUCUACCACCUGGUAGAGUUCAUUUGUAGAUGCAUCCAAUGGGAUUUCUUAAAGGCCCACAGUCCAUUUUAGCAUUUUACAGGAUGUGUGAUGGUGCAGGAAUCCCAGGUAUAAAAUGUGCUCAGCUGCUAGAAGAGAGAGUCUCUCAUUUGAAUAACAAAAUUCCCCUCCAAGAGGCCUUCUGGGUUUCUUUGCUGAUGAAAGCAAUCUUCUGCCUUGCCCUCCUGCUUUAUUGCUGUUCUAAAGCUCCAGAUAACGGCCUCAAUAGACCUUCCAUUUCUGUUAUGGCUUCCCCAUUAGGAAACAAUAGGCAAGUGGGGGAGAAAGCGAUAAGAGCUGCAGGGAGGUCAUGGUGCACCUGCUCAUCUCCAUAUACAGACCUUGGAACAUACUGGUGAGUUGAAGAAGAUUGAAUGCAAUAAUCUAAUGUGAAGAAAGGCAAUAAUUGCUACUGUCAUGCCGGACAAUCAUGUGCACGAUGCAGAAGUCACUGAUGGUCAUGUCAAUAGGAGAGCGGUCUGAGAGAGCCGUUCAUUCCAUACGGCUAAUCCUGGUGCUAAGUGAGUGAUUUACAGAUUGCAUUGGAGGCAGAGCAACCAACAGUGCUUAUAGCAUUUCCACAUUCUGAUGAGGGUGACAGAUGUCCAUUUCCCCCCCACCCUUGAACUUCUUAACCAUGGGAUCCCAACAACCACAUGGCUUUCAGGCCCCGAAGAUCACCCUAUAGGUUCAUCUCUCUUAAAGAUGUGACUUA